UGUGGAAGUGAUGACUUCCUUUUUACCGCCCCAGUCUGAACAUUCAUGACUGAUUGGUACCCACCUGAUCCAGA